CUGACAUGUGCCUUAAAAAAAAAAAAAGGACAACGUUUGACCCUUAGACUCUGAGAAAGAAAUGUUUAAUUUUCUUUUAUAUGAAAGCCCAGCUCUAUAUAACCUGUUGGACAGGGAGCGAUGGCCAUCUGAAGCCUCUCUAGAUUAUAAUAUUGUUCUCCAAUUAGUCCUGUUUUGUACAUGAGAAGGGAAAUGGUCAGAGGUGCCUUAUGUUCAGAUCUUUACGAUAAGGAAAGACGUUGAGGGACUGAAAGUCGAUGAGUAAAGCCCAUUAGCUACUCCAAACUCAGAGGCUUGUCAAGGGAAAUGAGAGUCCAUCGGCUUUCUUAGAAAGACUCAGAGAGGCAUUGAGGAAGCAGACGCCAGUAGACCCAGAAUCACUGGGGGCCAAAUAAUUCUUAAAGGCAGAUUCAUAAGUCAGUCUGUGCCACAUAUACAGAGAAAGCUCUAAAAAUUGGCUUUUGCCCCUGAUCAGGACCUAGAGCUCCUCCUUAGAGUAGCAACUCAAGUAUAUAAUAAUUGGGACCAGGAAGAAUGAAAGGAGAACAGAAGGAGAGACAGGGAAAAGGGUGAGGCUCUGGUUAUGGCGCUACAGGGAGUCAACCUGGAAGCUUCCAAGGUGACAGGGCUAGGGCAGAGACCUAAGCCUGGAGCCUGUUUCGUCUGUGGAAAAGAGGGACACUAUCUCCUUUCUUUUGUUUUCUCUUUCUUUUCUUUUCUUUCCUUUUCUCUUUCUUUCUUUCUUUCUUUCUUUCUUUCUUUCUUUCUUUCUUUCUUUCUUUCUUCUUUCUUUUCCUUUCUUCUUUUUUUUAGGGCCACGUAUGGAGGUUCCCAGGCUAGGGGUCCAAUCGGAACCAACGGCGGGAUCCAAGCCACAUCUGUGACCUACACCACAGCUCACAGCAAUGCCAGAUCCUUAACCCACUGAGCAAGGCCAGGGAUCAAACCCGAGUCCUCAUGGAUGCUAGUCAGAAUGUGUCCGACUGCCUGCGAGAUCUCCGGCAGCAGAUUCAUGAGAUGUCCGAUCCAGCUCCAGCUUUUGGAGCUGCCCUCUGGAACUGCUUGACCUCCUCCUCCUGGUGGAAACAUUUCCUCACCAUAGUCAUCAUCGUGGUUUUGAUCAUUUUAUUCAGACCCUGUAUAAGUAAUUGUAUUUCUUGUUUCAUUACAUCCCAGUUAGAACCUGUCAACCUUCAAGUGGUGAUAGAAGGGGUACCCAAUGUAAUGUAUCAAAGCCCACUCGACCGUCUCACGAGUGGAGACCUAACUGCUUUCCCCUAACGACACCGCUUUUCAGGCAGUCAGAGUGGUCAUCACCCCCUCCCCCCCGCAAUUAGAGUCUCCAACUCUAGAAGAGGGGAUUGAGGCAGAAUACUAAGUCAGGUCAUCAUGUAGGAGCAUGGGCUUCGAUGCAUUCUUUGAUACGGUUAUUGAUGAACAUUUGUGGCUUAAGGGCUCCGGGGAGUAACAUCCCCACAGGCCUUGUUUACUGUAGGGAGUGUGCCUACCCCCAGAUGAACAUGAAUCCCUAGCUCUCCUGUGACUCAGUGUAUGGGAAGAAAAGGGCAAAGAAACCGUGAGACUUAUGGGGCAUUUCCACCCCUAAGGCCCCUAUUGGACAAGGACUAAUACAGGAAACUGGGCAAGGCCAAUGGGAGAAAACCACAUCUUGCUGGAUCCCACGUUGGUAUCCCCCCAUCUUUAAGGGAUAAAAGCCCCUAUCAGACAAUAGAGAGAGAGGGGGCUCUUCUUCCCUCUCCCAGCUGUCCUGGGAGCUGUUUGCUUUCCUGUAAUAAAGACUUUGCUGGCUUGCUUGC
rnacentral:lncRNA from 1 species